GGAGAGAUGCCCGAGAGGCUGAAGGGGGCUGACUCGAAAUCAGUUGUCCCGUUUAUACGGGACCGGGGGUUCAAAUCCCUCUCUCUCCGCCA
rnacentral:tRNA from 1 species